AUGGAGGCUCGCUUAAUGAGGAUGAAGAGCUGGUCAGCCUAACCCGCAGGUGCAUUUCAGAUAAGGCAGCAGACAUGGGUCUUGAGAAUGUAGCUCCUAGACAGCAGCAGGCUGAGCAGAAAUACAGGCCACCUGGUCCUAGGAUUCCCAACUGUGGUGGCAAAUCUGAGCUGAGUAAGUUGGCAAAUCUCAGCUGCGUAAGGUAAGCAGAGGCAAUUUUGCCAUCUGGUCUUCCUAGUGCUAUGCAAUGUGUUCCUUUUCAUUCCUCAUUUGUGUGUGAGUGUGUUUGUUUCUUUUAGGUCGUAAAUCCCAGAUGGGUAAGGUAAGCAGAGGCAAUUUUGCCAUCCUGUCUUUCUAGUGCUAAUCAAUGUGUUCCUUUACAUUCCUUGUCUGUGUGUUUGU